rnacentral:tRNA from 10 species
AACUAUAGUUAAUACUGCAUUGUGCAUUGGAAACUUGCGGAGAGUACAUUUCAUGCGCUCUCACCACUUACACAAAAUAGUAACUGUGAAGAGAUGUAUUAUGUUAAUUAGCUUGACUGUAGAAAUCAUUUCACUGUGUACAUGUAUCAAAACAUCAUGUUGUACACCUUAAAUAUAUAGUUUUUAUUUUUAAAACACUGUUUGGGAUUAAAAGCCCAGCUAAUUCUGCCUUAAUAUCUCAUUCUUAUCCACAAUGUCCACCCAUAAGAAAGACGCCCGAUACUCCGUGUAAACACACACUCCCCAUCUCCCAUACAAAUUUACCUUCUAGAGAGAGCCCUUUUCCCCAAACUCUCCUCUCAAAACACUCUGAAGCACAAGGUCUUUAGCCUAGUUAGACAUUUUCUGAAAAACUUAGUUUAACUCAGCGUAGAGACACCAUGAAUUUCAGAGACCCAGUCCUGGGCCUGCUUCAGUUGCUUUAGCCUAGAGUUUCAACUCCCAGGUCCCGGGGAGGGAUGCUCCAAGGAAGAAAUAGAGGCCCUAUUCCAGGGCUGUUUCUCGCAGACUAGCCACAGAAAAUGCAGCCCAGCGCCACUUCCUUUCAGUAGCAACACGUUUCCAACACGUUUGUUAAGCGGGAACGGAAGUGAGCGGAAAGGAAUGCGUUUGGUAAAUCCCACUUUAAGGAUUUCGUAAUCCUCCCAGGGAUUCCCACCACCCGCACUCCACUCGCAGACUGCGGGCCUUCCUCCGACGCUGGGAGAAGGACCCUGGGAGAGGCAAGGGAAGGGCUCCGGAACCAGCGCAGCAGCGGGACGCUAGCCCGCCCACACGGCGGCCACUUGAAGGUCCUCCAGGGAACACCUGAGGCAGUGGGAGCGUCUGCCCUUUCCUAAGUCUCCUUGGAAAGAAGUAUUCGCUUUCGUUUCCGCAAACAAAGCAUGCUCCGCGCUUUCAGGACCGGUGGCUCCCGUGGAGACCGCAGCGGAACCCAGUCCGCCUUCGCACGCGUCCGGGGGAGAAGCGGCCCCAGGACUAAGGGCGCGCGCCCGAGGAACCGGUGCUGUGACGACCAGAGCAAACACGCCGGAUGUUCCUGUGUAGGCUGUGUAAGGAGUGACCGGAAGUAGAAACUGGGUGCUCCAGUGGCGCAAUCGGUUAGCGCGCGGUACUUAUAUGGCAGUAUGUGUGCGAGUGAUGCCGAGGUUGUGAGUUCGAGCCUCACCUGGAGCAUUGUUUUCCAACCCAAAAUAGCAUUACUUGAAGUGCCUUUCCCCCUGUAAUCCGACUCCAUCGUCUUUAACGUGUUUGGAAUUGUGUACACAGUUUAUUGUUAUUGGUUUCCUUAGCCUUUUUAGAACCAAGCAACGCCAAUUACCAACAAAAUCCGUUGCGCCGCAGUGAGUUAGCUACCUUCUAUCUCCACUUUGUUCUGCACGUCGAUCUCAGGAGAAGCCAGCUCCCAUGUUAAGAAGUUCAAAUACCUAGAGACUGCGAUGGUUUGCAGAGGCUCAAGCUAACCACAUGGAAAGACAUGGAGAGAUAUUCCUUGCCAACCCUCAACUACUCCAACUAUUCUAAGACAUCAAACCUGUGAGUGAAAAAGCCAUCUCAUACCUUACAACUCUAGCAGAUGCCACAUAGUGUAGAGAUAAGCUCUCUCUGUCAUUCUCUGUCAAAAUUGUAAAAUCAUAAGCAAAUAAAUAAUCACAGUUGCUUCAAGUUACUACAUUUGAGCAUAGUAUUUUAAGCCACUGCAUUUGAGAUGGUUUGUUAUACAGCAAUAGAUAACUAAAAAACAAAGUCCCUUGAUUUAGACUUGUCCACUCAACUUGCUUGGCCAAUGGAAUGGGGUAGAAGUGAUGGUGUGCUUAUUCCCAGCCUGGGCCUUAAAAGGCUUUGCCUAUUUCCACUUGCCUUCUUGUACUUCUGCUAUUGUCAUAAGAAAAACAAACCGCAGGUCACCCACCGGUCUGAAGAGGAGGAUGAGAGACAAAGAAAAAAGUUGUCUGGCUGCCUCUGCUGUCUACAGAUUGAAGAAGAUCCAUCCAGCUGAGCCCAGCCUAGACCAGCUGACUUCUCCAAUAAGCCUGUAUGAAAUAAAUGCUUAUUGUUAUGUGACCUUGAGCUUUGAAGAUAGUUUGUUAUGCAAUAAUUGUUGAUUCUUUCACCCUGUCUUUGUUGAACUGUUAUAGACGUCUUAAUAGGAGUUCACAAUUCAG